CCGGUUUAAACACAGAAGUUAUUAUAAUUUUGGCAGCAGCGGGUGUGGCGGUUAUUAUUGUAAUUAAUUUGUCUUUCUGCGUUUAUUGGAAAUAUAAACCGCGUCAAAUUGAAAUCAACAAUCCUGCUACUGGAAUAGACAUUACUACACAUCAACAAAAUAGGGCGAUGACUGCGAGCGCUUCAGAUAUGUAUGACGACGAGAACACUGAUUUUCAUUACCACGAAAUAUCAGAAAUACAGAUACCAAUUACAGAUAUUGUCACACGAUCAAAUACUUUCAUCAGAGAAGCUUACGAUGAAAAUGAACCAACGUUCGUAAACAGUGAACUAUCUCGUCAGAUGAUCAGCAGAACAGGAAUGAGUUUAACAAGUUCUGGGACUGGGGACACGCUCAAUGAUACCCAUGAACCAAUUACUUUUUUGACAUUGGCUGACGUUAUUGCGAUUGAAUCAGAAACAGAUAGAACUGACGUAAAGAGUGUUCGUUACGAGAGUCUAGAUCCAACUGGACAGGCUGAUAAGUCGCAAUACACCACUCUGGUUUAAUAUUUAAUAACAGGUAGAUCUACGUAUAUUGCUACAUUAGUAUAUUCAUGUAAUGUAAAUAAAAUACGUAUACGUAUAUACAUUGCCUGUCCUUUGAGCUACACUGUGCAAACCUAUUCCAAGAUCAUACAUGUGUUAACCUUUUUUUUGUAGAGAAUUGUUAUAUCAAUAAAAUGUUUCAGUUGAUAAUAAUUAUUAUUAUGCGUGACGUAUUGUCAAAAUUGUUUGAAUAAACAUAUGUUAUUUGUU